CACGUAGGGCGCAAGCGUUGUCCGGAAUUAUUGGGCGUAAAGAGCUCGUAGGCGGUCUGUUGCGUCCGCUGUGAAAACUCGGGGCUUAACCCCGAGCCUGCAGUGGAUACGGGCAGACUAGAGGUAGGUAGGGGAGAAUGGAAUUCCCGGUGUAGCGGUGACAUGCGCAGAUAUCGGGAGGAACACCGGUGGCGAAGGCGGUUCUCUGGGCCUUACCUGACGCUGAGGAGCGAAAGCGUGGGGAGCGAACAGG
rnacentral:rRNA from 1 species